GGAACCUUUAUGUCACAGCCUAAACUGAUGACUGAGAAUCUGGUGAAGAGGGUGGCUGGCCCAGGAAGCACAGGUGCAAGCAAUUCACCUGUGCUUCCCAGGUGACCAGAAGGGGUGGACCCUGGAUCCACCCCUCCCUGGGCUUAUUUAAGGGCCAGCCUCCAAAGGGAGAGUGUUUCUUCUAUGAAGGCUGCUUUCUGUGAGGGGGUGUUCUGUAGCUAGGGAUUCUUUCAUGAGUUGGCUGCUGAAUGGAUCAGUCUUUAAAUGGGUUGCACUGUGUGAGCAGUGAAUGCAAAGAAUGCACAACUUUUGUACCAGGUGCGUAAAUGGGAGAAGGCUGAAACCUGUGAGAGGGCCUGGAUCCAAGGGAUUUCCUGGUUCAUGCUGAAUGCUUACUAGGCAGAAGUCAUGAAGCAAUAAGAUUGGAGGAUGUUCAGCAGAAGUGACCAAACGCCUGGACUGCUUGAUGUUAUCCUGUUGUGAACUGAAGCUCACAGUCAGAUGCUCUGUGCAGUUUCCUUACAAUGAGGUUUAAAGGCAAGAGCCAGUGCUCUGUAAACAUCCAGUGAAAAC
ensembl:lncRNA